GGCCCUGUAGCGCAGUUGGUUAGCGUGCCGCCCUGUCACGGCGGAGGUCGCGGGUUCAAGUCCCGUCAGGGUCG
rfam:Microbacterium ginsengisoli strain DSM 18659 RR49_contig000073, whole genome shotgun sequence.